rnacentral:lncRNA from 1 species
AACAAGAAAUGCAAUAAAAAUAAGCAGCUCAAUACCAAACUGUUGUAGACUCAGAAAUAUAAUUUUGCACGACAGGCUCAAUUCUUAAGCUAAUAUAAUGUAUUUCCUGCAAAGAGUUGUACCUAAGUCCAUGAAAUUGCUGAUAGGAAGCAGCAACUCAAAAACUUCUACAUAAUAAUAAAACAAAUUUCAAGCAUUAUACUAUACUAGUAAUUAUUAAUUAAGCAGUGAACGGACUGCUGCUGCUGUAAAUCCAUGACAGCAAUGACUACGGGAGAGAUACUAAACUGGUUAAAUACUGGCUUAGCCAUUUCAAUAAACCUGCAUCAGAAAGGGGUGUAAUAAGCAUAUUUCUAUGAAUUUAAUCUCAGGUUCAAAGAAAAUGCAGAAAAUAAAUAAAUAGUAUUUCUCAAAGCGCAUAUGCAUAAGCAUUAUAAUGUAAACUCAGAACUCACCUAGCAGCUCCAAACUUCCUUUUCAUAACCGGUGACUGGGGUGAAAGACCUCAGAUUGUUCUUAUCAAAAGAUGGCAUCAGUACUUUCAAGAACCACAGAGGAUUGCUACAUUUUAAUUGUAGCGAACCAUAUUUAGGAGCAGAUAAUAUAUAAAAAUGGGAAUAUGCAAUGCAAUAUCA